CUGCCUGUUUCACACAUGAUAGUGUAUAUGCGUCAGUGCUUGUCCUCACCAUCUUUAAGGGCUUACCUUGUACCCUCUGUCCUUACCACUGAGGAGGUUACUGAUAAAAGCUCUGGGGUCCCCUAUAAUGAGUUUCCCCCAUAUUUGCAGCUCUGGAAGGCAGAAGGUUGAAUGGCCGGUGGUAAGAGUUUCGGAUGCCGGCAGGGUGAUCGGGGACGGGGCUCUCCCUGGAGGACACAGCACGAGCCUGGGGAACGUGUCUGCCCUGCCUCCUUCCCUUCCCCGGUGGUCUUUCUCUCGACUACACAGGCCUUUCCUUGUUCUGUGGGAAAUUAGACAGGAAGCUGGCGUUUUCCUAGAAGGAUGCUCUGAGCCAAGUUUGUUCUUCCUGUGCCCCAUCUCUUCCUCUCUACAGGGAGGGUACCCCACGGGCCCUACUUUCUCAGCAGCCUAUGAGGUGGCUUGAAGCUUCAAGCUGUGGGCAAAGAGGAAGGAGCUCUGUUUGUGGCCAUGUCAUCGUUUCUCUACCGGGGAGUGGAGACUGUUUACCUUCACGUUACCCCAGCGACCACGUGGGUUCCUGGCCGUUUUGGGCACAGAUUCUGGAUGAGUCGACAAAGGGAUCUUGGGGCUGAAAAGGAGCCCGUGGUCCUUCUGCCCCCUGCCCUCCACUCGGGACAUGUCAGCCCCAUUUUCAGGUGAAGCAGCGAAGGCUCUAAGAGGUGGUAUGAUGUGCCCAGGGCUGCAGAGGGAGGUGGUGGCAAGGGCCAGACGGCAGACUGGACCCUCAGCCCUGGAGCCCCUGUGAGCCCCGGUGCUGCUGCCACCGCGCCUGGCAUGUAGCCCUCAUCCUGGUCAGGCUCAGGCCGAGCCCUUACCCUCCGGGUAGGAGCCACUGUGGCUCCCAUCUCACAGAUGAGCAGAGACGCUCAGAGAUGUUAAUAAAACAUACCUCCGUCCCCCUCGUCUCCUCCAUGAAGAUGAAGCGAGUGAUGACGUCACUGAUCUGGGGGGACCUGUAGCCCCUCUGUCCCCCCUGCAGUGCACACUCAUUUCCCCCCGCCCCCGGCUGAUGCGCGUGCUCGGAGGACCCAGGCAGACCUUGCACAGCUCUAGGCGCGCCAACCUGGAGACCUGCCAGGCUGGACUGCACCCUGGAGCCGGACGAGGACCAAGUGACGGGCGCAGGGGCUGCUGGAUGGGAGAGCGGCCCCAAGUGGCUUGAAAAGACCCCUUUGGCCUCAGGGUCAUCUGCCUGUGCUAUGUCAGACGUUCUCGGAUGAAGAGUUCGUCAACCAUGUGGGGGUCAACCAUGCCGGCCCCAGGCCCCUUCAUGACACAGGACGCUCGGGCGAGGACUCCUGAGGGCUCGGGGAUGUACUUGUUCUGCUGCUAAAAGAGGAGUGUUAAGAUCUCCAGCUGGAAUUGGAAAUGACUUCUCUUCAGUUCUUGGUUGACCUAGGAUUUAAAACACAGCUUCACCACAACAUACCUUGAACAGAUUUAUUUCAAAGCAGAGGUUCUGCUGCUGAGAAACACACAAGGAACCUGUAGAAGAGGGGUCCACACUGACCUGCAGUGAGCGGCCUGACCUCUCAUCUCCACGCGCACAGAAAGGCCUGGUGGGAGCGCCACUCCUUGCCGACCUCUGAGGAUCCUUGCCCCGCCUCAGCCCCCUCUGAGAUCAGGAGCCUCUCUGAUCCACCCUUGAAAGGACUAAUUUCAGAGUCCUGGUGACGGUGGGUCGUGGACCCGUGUGGAUCGUGAUGCCAACACCGGCGUUAGCACGUGGCCGUGGCAGCUUCUGAACUUCUUGCCGGCUUGCUCAUCAAUGAGGCGAGGGGUGUGUGUCUGCACAGGACGGCUGUGCUGCUUCAUGCAGGUCGCAGGAAAUCCCAGCUGCUGCUGUGACUUCUGUUUCAGGUCGGGGUCCUGGGGCCUCUGGUGAGAGGUGAUCUCUGGCUCAGGGUUGGUUAGGAUCGAACUGUGUUCUCCUCGCUCUGUGCCCUAGACUGUCAGCCCUGUGGUAGUCCAACCUUUGGCGCCAGCUUCCUCAGGCCCCAGGCCUGUGCUAAUAGCCCAGGUCCCUGUGGCCAAAGGGAAUUUUGUUAGGCAUUUUUUAUGUUUUAAAGAUUAUUUUAUCUUGGAGGAUUGUUGAUUUGCAGUGUUGUGUUUAUUUGAAGUAUACAGCAGUGUGAUUCAGGUAUAAACAGACAUAUGUAUAUAUAAAUUUCUCAUGGCUUCUUUUUGCAUAUAGGUUAUGACAGAAUGGUGAGUAGAGUUCACUGUCCUCUAUAGUAGGCCCUUGUUGAUUAUCUAUUUUAUAAAUGUUACUGAAAGUGUUAGUCGCUCAGUCGUGUCCAACUCUUUGUGAGUCCCUGGACUGUAGCCCACCAGGCUCCUCUGUCAAUGGAAUUCUCAAGGCAAGUAUACUGGAGUGGGUUGCCAUAUCCUGCACCAGGGGAUCCCAACCCAGAGACCUAACCUGGGUCUCCUGCAUUGCAGACUUCUUUACUGUCUGAGCAACCAGGAAAGCCCAUAAAUAUUAGUGGGUGUUGCUUAAACCCAGCCUCCUCAUUUAUCCCCCCUAACUUUCCCUUUGGUAACCCUAACUGUAUCAUUUAAGUCUGUGAGUCUGUUUCUCUUUUGUAAAUUAGUUCAAUUCUAUCAAUUUUUGUAUUCUACCUGUAAGUGAUAUCAUAUGUGUCUUUCUCUUUCUGACUUAGUGUGGACAUCUCCCGGUCCAUCCAUUUUGCUGCAAAUGACAUUAUUUCCUUGUUUUCUGGCUGAGUCACAGUCCAUGCAGUGCAUGUAGCGUGCCUCUAUCCGUUCAUCUGUCGAUGGACAUUUCGGUUGUCCCCAUGCCGUGCGUGUGCGUGCUUAGUUGCUCAGUUAUAUCUGACUCUUCGCAGCCCCAUGGAUUGUAGCCCACCAGGCUCCUCCAUUCAUGGCUUUUUUCAGAGGAGAAUACUGGAGUGGGUAGCCUUUCCCUUCUCCAGGGAAUCUUCCCAACCCAGGGAUUGAGCCAGGCCUCCCGCAUUGCAGGUGGAUUCUUUACCAGCUGAGCCACAAGGGAAGCCCCAGAAUACUGGAUCGGGUGGCCUAUCCAGCCCAUCUUAUUAGGUAGUUUACCUGCAAAGCUAGCUUCUAGUCAGGAGCACAGCCACUUGAUCCAUCUGUCUGUAUAGACAUAUUCACAAGGCCUGUGGGGGCCCUAAAUGAUCCCCACCCUGGAGGAACAUCCUAUGGUUGGUAAUACUAGAGGAAUGCAAAAGUAUGCCUAAUUUCAGAGCCUAUUUCAAGGCAAAAGUUCUCCUCACAGUUACAACUUGUCAAUGAGCCUGGAGAGUUCUUCAGCCUCUCAACCAUGAAGACAAAAGGACAAGGACAAGCAAAAGGACAACUGAGGCUGCAUCUGACACCAGUUCUCUGCUCUACAAGCAACGAUGUUCAAGGCCACGUGGAGAAAACAGAACCCCCUGUGCUGCUACACAGAAUGGAGACUGUUAACAGUUUUGCUACAGAGCCUGCAGGUUUGUUCAGAGGCAAAAACCCACCUACCAGGAGAUCCCCAAAUCGCACUCCGGGGCCACUAUCCAGAGAAAACCAUCCUUCUCCAAUACACCUGAACCCCAGUGUCUCCUGCGGGGCUCCCCAGAAGAGUCAAGCAUUGGAAACCACCAAAAUGUCCAUUCACAGAUGAAUGGAUAUGGAAGAUGGGCUACAUACAGGCAACGGAUGAUGACUCAGCCAGAAGCACCAAGAAAAUCAUGCACGUUCUUCCGCAUUGAUAGUCCCUCAGAGGAUCACACUGCCUCAAGGAAAUCAGACACAGAAAGAUGAAGACCAUACAUAGUACAGCGUUCAGGUGGAAUCCAAAAGCAUCACAAAUGAUCCAGUUUCCCCAACAACACCAGAUUUCCAGCCAGAAAUAUCAAACCGAGACUUGGCAAAUGGAUGUCUGGAAUGAGGGGAAGGGUAACUGAGGAGUUUGGGAUGAAAACUUACCAAAUUUGAGUGACACAGAGAAGUGGAUAAAUAUGCAGACACAAAGGGAGCUGGAAAGACAGUGGAAGAGUUAGAUAUAGCUAUAAAUAUAUCAAUAAAUACAUCUUUAUGUAGAUACAUGGAUAGAUAUAAAUAAAAAUGUAUAUAAAGACCUAGAGAUUCAGAGGUACGAAAUCCAGAGAUAAGAUGAGAGAGAGCGAGCUGGAUAUAAGGACACUGGAUCCAUCAACAUAUGGAUAAAAUAUAAACAAACACACAGAAUGAAAGGACAUAGAAAUGUAGAUAGAGAGAUCUACUAACAGCUGCAGAGAGAAAGAGAUGAAUGUAGACAGAGAGGUAGAUCAAAGCUGGAUUCCUGUCGACACUGGUACCUGGAGAGAGAAACAGAGAUAAAGACAUAUUCCUGGCUAGAUGGACAGAGAGACAGACAGACAGAUGCAGCUGGAGUCACGGGCUUAAAAGAUGAACACACACAGAGAGAAGCACAGAUAGUGAAUGAACAGACAGAGAUGUAAAUAUAGGUAGAGAAAUUUAUUGAUAGCCAGAAAGAGAAAUAGAGACAGAAUUAUAGAGAGGUAUACAGAGAGUUUGGUGGAGGCCUAGAAAGAUAGGCAGGUAGACAAAGGAUAAUGAACAACAACCUCCUGUAUACAACAUGGAACUCUACGCAAACGUAUAUUAGGUUAUUCGUGGAGAGAACGGGUAGAAGAACACCUGCGUCUGCAUGGACAGAUGGAUCGAGUGGCUUGCGUCUGACAAGCUAACCUCGCAGGGAACUCUGCUCCAAUCGAAAACACAACAUACACGACAGGAGCAAACUACACCCACCGGCCUCUGCUCGACCCCUCCGUCCUGAUGGGCUACGCUGGUGUCGCAUCCGAGGGGCCUGAGCAGCUGUGGGCCCCAAGGGUGGGCUGUCUCCUGGCUGAGGGAGGUGGGAGCAUGGAGAUGCAAAUGGGCCCUUCCCUGGAUCCGGAGGGCCUCGUCCUCUGUGCGUGGGACCUCAAUCUUCUGAUCCAGGCUGGCCCUCCUCCACCCACACGAAGCCUGCUGUCCCCCACUGAAGGAAAGUUACACGGCUCAAAAUAGCCUGGAGUUAAAAUUCCCCUCGAGGUCCUUCCCACCAUUCUAUGCAAAACAAAGAACUCUCUCACCUGAUAAAAAAAAAAUGGACAGUAAGGUUGAUUACGCCAGCUCCCAGCCGGUCCAGCCUCUGGCCGAUCUCCAAAAUUCCUUGCCCCAGCAGUUUCAGAGAUAACUACUCCGAACAAUGUCAGAGAAGAGCAGGUCCCCUGCAGACAUUAGCUUUCCACAUCCAUGCCUGUAUAUACUUACUCUUUUCUUAGGUUAGCACAGCAGCUCACUAAUCUGA